rnacentral:RNase_P_RNA from 1 species
AGAGGUGACAAGCUUAUGUAUACGGGCAAACAUACUAAAAGACUCUUGUUCUUUAAUCUUACCCGUGGGAAGGUCUGAGGAAAACCGCUAAAUGUCUUUGCUGGAUAACCUGUGAAAAUGGGGGCAGUGCUACCAGAAAAUAUAUCAUCUUGGACCGUUAGUACCGUUGAAGGAGCUUGCAAGAGUUUCUGAUGGGUUGGUUCGAGAAUGUUUACUGUAAUGGCCUGUGGGUGGUAAUGCUAUGAAGUGCAAUACAUGAGACCGGUUAUACUGGUAACUCAAUUCAGACUACUCUGUCUCCUCU